rnacentral:rRNA from 1 species
UGAACGCUGGCGGCGUGCCUAAUACAUGCAAGUCGAGCGACCAGAUGAGGAGCUUGCUCCUCUGACGUUAGCGGCGGACGGGUGAGUAACACGUGGAUAACCUACCUAUAAGACUGGGAUAACUUCGGGAAACCGGAGCUAAUACCGGAUAAUAUAUUGAACCGCAUGGUUCAAUAGUGAAAGACGGUUUUGCUGUCACUUAUAGAUGGAUCCGCGCCGCAUUAGCUAGUUGGUAAGGUAACGGCUUACCAAGGCAACGAUGCGUAGCCGACCUGAGAGGGUGAUCGGCCACACUGGAACUGAGACACGGUCCAGACUCCUACGGGAGGCAGCAGUAGGGAAUCUUCCGCAAUGGGCGAAAGCCUGACGGAGCAACGCCGCGUGAGUGAUGAAGGUCUUCGGAUCGUAAAACUCUGUUAUUAGGGAAGAACAAAUGUGUAAGUAACUAUGCACGUCUUGACGGUACCUAAUCAGAAAGCCACGGCUAACUACGU